rnacentral:rRNA from 1 species
UACAGAGGGUGCAAACGUUGUUCGGAAUUACUGGGCGUAAAGCGCGUGUAGGCGGCCCUGCAAGUCGGAUGUGAAAUCCCACGGCUCAACCGUGGAAGUGCAUUCGAAACUGCGGGGCUUGAGUACUGGAGAGGAAGGUGGAAUGCUCGGUGUAGAGGUGAAAUUCGUAGAUAUCGAGCGGAACACCGGUGGCGAAGGCGGCCUUCUGGACAGUUACUGACGCUGAGACGCGAAAGCGUGGGGAGCAAACAGG